UACGUAGGGUGCGAGCGUUGUCCGGAAUUAUUGGGCGUAAAGAGCUCGUAGGCGGUUUGUCGCGUCGGCCGUGAAAACUUGGGGCUUAACCCCAAGCUUGCGGUCGAUACGGGCAGACUUGAGUUCGGCAGGGGAGACUGGAAUUCCUGGUGUAGCGGUGAAAUGCGCAGAUAUCAGGAGGAACACCGGUGGCGAAGGCGGCGAUCUGGGUAGAUACUGACGCUGAGGUGCGAAAGCGUGGGGAGCAAACAGG
rnacentral:rRNA from 1 species